UUCAACCGUCUGUUGGCGAUCGUUAUCAGUUUAAAGAAAAAGGAAAAAAACAGGAAUCGUGUCUUUACGCGAUCCACGAGUCCUAGGAAGAGAAGUUUGAAAAGGAGAAGAGCUAGAAGUUUAGAGAAAAAGUGUGAAAAAAGUGUUGAGAGAAAUAAGGAAGUUAGUGGGAGAGAGUAAGGUGCAAUAGAAGUGAUUGGAGAGGAAGUUAAGCAGAUGGAGGUGAGGACAGAGACAAGGGAAAAGGAUAAAAAUUUAGGAAAGAGAAAAAUAGAUGGAAAAUGGGAACGUCAAAAAAAUAAUUACAGGAUUUAAGGGGCAACUUUUAUAAGAAGAGGGAAUACAUGAGAACAGUGUUGUGCUAGCAGAUCGUGCUAGUCGGAGAUUUAAAUGUAGGACAUUGAGUAUGAAGAAAACAAUAGAAUAUAGAAAAUCCAGUAAUGGAUAGAAACACUCUAAAUAUUAGGUCAAUUUACAUUACUGGCUUCCGGAAUUUGAGAAAACAGAUAUUCUUAUUGAAUAUGGUAUUAAUAGAAUUGCUAUACAAGAUGCGAAUAUUCGGAACUUUCUUGAUUUAAGAGACCUGAGACGAAGAUUUGUCGAUUAUAAUAUCUAGACAAGGGAGCACCGCUGUUAUAAUAAUGUUAAAAAAUGGAUUAAGGUCCAAGAUUUUAAAACUGAUGUUGAUGGUAGAACGGUAGCUGUUGCUUUUCAGGUUUGUGGUCGGCCUAUGAGGAUAAUUGCAAUUAAUGCAUCACCUGAGUUACAGAAAGGAAGGAGAAUUUUUAUUGUUUAAGAAAUCUUUUAGCGUUUUCUCAUCCAGGACCAAACCUGAACAGCCACUGGACACGUGUAAAAAACAUGAACAGUAUCUUCAUCACAGCCGCAUCUAGAGCAUCUGGGGUCCAAUCGCCAAUGGUUUUCCGAUAUAUAAAUCCGAUCGAGACGCUCUAGAGUACCCUUGCCAGACCACGUAAAACCCAGAUGACUCGGAUAUAUUUUGCGAUAAAUAUCUACUAGGUUAAAAUCGUCUAUUAUAUUUUCAGCAUAGUACGUGAUCCGUCCGGUAUAAGGGAAGUAUUCUUAUCUAAAACACUCAAAACAGUAUUAAAAUCACCUAAUAAAAUAAGAUCACGACUCACCGCUAAAAAAUCCGUUAAGACCUUCAAAUUCUCUAUCCUCUCCGAGACUCUGGGUGCUGCAUAAAUUGAAACUAUUCUGUAGGGCCUGUUGCCAAUCUGUAUGUCUACAGCCAAAAUUCUGCCGUUAUCAUCAGUCCGAAAAUCAUCAAUUUAAUCCAUUUAUGUAUUAACAUAACUAUUUUUGUGCUCCGAUUUUUGGCAAACGAUACAUACAUAUUAAAACCCAAAAAUACUUUCUAAGGUUUGUUAAAUCUAUCAUGUCUCUGAUAUUAGUAUCCUGUAUGGCCAUCGAUUGUGUCAUAACUAAAUUCGGCUGUAUCGAUUGUGUCAUAACUAAAUU